rnacentral:rRNA from 1 species
GAUGAACGCUAGCGGGAGGCCUAACACAUGCAAGCCGAGCGGUAUUGUUUCUUCGGAAAUGAGAGAGCGGCGUACGGGUGCGGAACACGUGUGCAACCUGCCUUUAUCUGGGGGAUAGCCUUUCGAAAGGAAGAUUAAUACUCCAUAAUAUAUUGAACGGCAUCGUUUAAUAUUGAAAGCUCCGGCGGAUAGAGAUGGGCACGCGCAAGAUUAGCUAGUUGGUGAGGUAACGGCUCACCAAGGCGAUGAUCUUUAGGGGGCCUGAGAGGGUGAUCCCCCACACUGGUACUGAGGCACGGACCAGACUCCUACGGGAGGCAGCAGUGAGGAAUAUUGGUCAAUGGGUGCAAGCCUGAACCAGCCAUCCCGCGUGAAGGACGACUGCCCUAUGGGUUGUAAACUUCUUUUGUAUAGGGAUAAACCUACCCUCGUGAGGGUAGCUGAAGGUACUAUACGAAUAAGCACCGGCUAACUCCGUGCCAGCAGCCGCGGUAAUACGGAGGGUGCAAGCGUUAUCCGGAUUUAUUGGGUUUAAAGGGUCCGUAGGCGGACUUAUAAGUCAGUGGUGAAAGCCUGUCGCUUAACGAUAGAACUGCCAUUGAUACUGUAAGUCUUGAGUAUAUUUGAGGUAGCUGGAAUAAGUAGUGUAGCGGUGAAAUGCAUAGAUAUUACUUAGAACACCAAUUGCGAAGGCAGGUUACCAAGAUAUAACUGACGCUGAGGGACGAAAGCGUGGGGAGCGAACAGG